GUAGUCCACGCCGUAAACGAUGAGUGCUGAGUGUUAGGGGGUUUCCGCCCCUUAGUGCUGCAGCUAACGCAUUAAGCACUCCGCCUGGGGAGUACGGCCGCAAGGCUUAAACUCAAAGGAAUUGACGGGGACCCGCACAAGCGGUGGAGCAUGUGGUUUAAUUCGAAGCAACGCGAAGAACCUUACCAAAUCUUGACAUCCUUUGACCGCUCUAGAGAUAGAGUCUUCCCCUUCGCGGGACAAAGUGACAGGUGGUGCAUGGUUGUCGUCAGCUCGUGUCGUGAGAUGUUGGGUUAAGUCCCGCAACGAGCGCAACCCUUAAGCUUAGUUGCCAUCAUUCAGUUGGGCACUCUAAGUUGACUGCCGGUGACAAACCGGAGGAAGGUGGGGAUGACGUCAAAUCAUCAUGCCCCUUAUGAUUUGGGCUACACACGUGCUACAAUGGACAAUACAAAGGGCAGCGAACCGCGAGGUCAAGCAAAUCCCAUAAAGUUGUUCUCAGUUCGGAUUGUAGUCUGCAACUCGACUACAUGAAGCUGGAAUCGCUAGUAAUCGUAGAUCAGCAUGCUACGGUGAAUACGUUCCCGGGUCUUGUACACACCGCCCGUCACACAAGAGGGAGGUUUUGUAACACCCGAAGUCGGUAGAG
rnacentral:rRNA from 1 species